rnacentral:snoRNA from 1 species
GGCUUGAUUGUAUUUUUUAAGAUUCUUUCUGAACAUUUAAAAAUCCCCAGCAGCCCAUUUUUUCCUCCUAUCACAUUUAAGUCAUAUGUGUGGAAUAACGGAGCAGUUGAUAAUUUGGGAUUCUGUUAGUGUGUGCUUCUGGGAGUGAAUGGUCCACAGCUAACAAAUAUCCAAUAGAACCAGUUAUUUAGGAGAUUAACAAGUGACAGUCACGGGUGUGAUGGAACAUGAUCUCAAAUUUUCAAUCUGAGGCC